UACAGAGGUCCCAAGCGUUGUUCGGAUUCAUUGGGCGUAAAGGGUGCGUAGGUGGCGCCGUAAGUCGGGUGUGAAAUUUCGGAGCUUAACUCCGAAACUGCAUUCGAUACUGCGGUGCUUGAGGACUGGAGAGGAGACUGGAAUUCAUGGUGUAGCAGUGAAAUGCGUAGAGAUCAUGAGGAAGACCAGUGGCGAAGGCGGGUCUCUGGGCCGAAACUGACGCUGAGGAGCGAAAGCGUGGGGAGCAAACAGG
rnacentral:rRNA from 1 species